AGUGAACGCUGGCGGUAGGCCUAACACAUGCAAGUCGAACGGCAGCACAGUAAGAGCUUGCUCUUACGGGUGGCGAGUGGCGGACGGGUGAGGAAUACAUCGGAAUCUACUUUUUCGUGGGGGAGAACGUAGGGAAACUUACGCUAAUACCGCAUACGACCUACGGGUGAAAGCAGGGGAUCUUCGGACCUUGCGCGAUUGAAUGAGCCGAUGUCGGAUUAGCUAGUUGGCGGGGUAAAGGCCCACCAAGGCGACGAUCCGUAGCUGGUCUGAGAGGAUGAUCAGCCACACUGGAACUGAGAGACGGUCCAGACUCCUACGGGAGGCAGCAGUGGGGAAUAUUGGACAAUGGGCGCAAGCCUGAUCCAGCCAUACCGCGUGGGUGAAGAAGGCCUUCGGGUUGUAAAGCCCUUUUGUUGGGAAAGAAAAGCAGCAGGUUAAUACCCCGCUGUUCUGACGGUACCCAAAGAAUAAGCACCGGCUAACUUCGUG
rnacentral:rRNA from 1 species